CGGCAACAUCACGUUGAAACACUGGUUUCCGUACUAUUAUCGAAGUUAAGCAACGUCGAGCCUGGUUAGUACUUAGAUGGGUGACCGUUUGGAAAUGCCAAGUACUGUAAG